GAAUCUUCAACAAUGGACGAAAGUCUGAUGGAGCAAUGCCGCGUGAGUGAAGAAGGUUUUCGGAUAGUAAAACUCUGUUGUGAGGGAAGAGCAAGUACGAGAGUAACUGCUCGUACCUUGACGGUACCUCACUAGAAAGCCACGGCUACCUACGUGCAAGCAGCCGCGGUAAUACGUAGGUGGCAAGCGUUGUCCGGAAUUAUGGGGCGUAAAGCGCGCGCAGGCGGUCCUUUAAGUCUGAUGUGAAAUCCCACGGCUCAACCGUGGAAGGUCAUUGGAAACUGGGGGACUUGAGUACGGAAGAGGAAAGCGGAAUUCCAAGUGUAGCGGUGAAAUGCGUAGAGAUUUGGAGGAACACCAGUGGCGAAGGCGGCUUUCUGGUCUGUAACGGACGCUGAGGCGCGAAAGCGUGGGGAGCAAACA
rnacentral:rRNA from 1 species